rnacentral:rRNA from 1 species
AUUGAACGCUGGCGGCAGGCCUAACACAUGCAAGUCGAGCGAGCGGCGGACGGGUGAGUAAUGUCUGGGAAACUGCCUGAGGGAGGGGGAUAACUACUGGAAACGGUAGCUAAUACCGCAUACCAUCAGAUGUGCCCAGAUGGGAUUAGCUUGUAGGUGGGGUAAAGGCUCACCUAGGCGACGAUCCCUAGCUGUGCUGAGAGGAUGACCAGCCACACUGUAACUGAGACACGGUCCAGACUCCUACGGGAGGCAGCAGUGGGGAAUAUUGCAUAAUGGGCGCAAGCCUGAUGCAGCCAUGCCGCGUGUGUGAAGAAGGCCUUCGGGUUGUAAAGCACUUUCAGCGGGGAGGCGUUACCUGCAGAAGAAGCACCGGCUAACUCCGUGCCAGCAGCCGCGGUAAUUC